rnacentral:rRNA from 1 species
UACGAAUGGGGCUAGCGUUGUUCGGAAUUACUGGGCGUAAAGCGUGCGCAGGCGGCGCGUUAAGACAGGUGUGAAAGCCCCGAGCUUAACUUGGGAAUUGCGCUUGUGACUGGCGUGCUGGAGUGUGGCAGAGGGAGGUGGAAUUCCACGUGUAGCAGUGAAAUGCGUAGAGAUGUGGAGGAACACCGAUGGCGAAGGCAGCCUCCUGGGCCAGCACUGACGCUCAUGCACGAAAGCGUGGGGAGCAAACAGG